rnacentral:lncRNA from 1 species
AGACAUCUAACUCAUACAUCUAUUAUUUUACUUAUCCCAAAUCUCAUCGACGAGCAUCCUCAAGGAUUAAGAGCUCGUCUCCAUACCGAAAAAGCUCAAGAAAGAAGAUAAAGAAGCCGCCACCGAGUCGUAGUUUCUUUUCGGAUGCCUUUGCGAGGCCGAGGAGACGCUGAAAGAAUUGGCACCCCAAAGCACGAGCUUGAUUCGGAGAAGAGGUGGCGUUUUCCAUUACGUUACGUGAUCUGCAUCAACAAUGUGGAGUGUUAUGGUGUAACGAAACAGUCACCACCACGAAAACGUAAGCUACUUACCAUCACGUACCACGGUGAGGCACUGACGUGACACUGCGUGAUGUCUUCCAUACUGCAGAUGGUGCUUCGAGAAGCUUACACGUUGCAUGAUACAGACGCACCUUGUC